CGGACGGGUGAGUAAUGUCUGGGAAACUGCCCGAUGGAGGGGGAUAACUACUGGAAACGGUAGCUAAUACCGCAUAACGUCGCAAGACCAAAGAGGGGGACCUUCGGGCCUCUUGCCAUCGGAUGUGCCCAGAUGGGAUUAGCUAGUAGGUGGGGUAACGACUCACCUAGGCGACGAUCCCUAGCUGGUCUGAGAGGAUGACCAGCCACACUGGAACUGAGACACGGUCCAG
rnacentral:rRNA from 1 species